GACGAACGCUGGCGGCGCGCUUAACACAUGCAAGUCGAACGGAAAGGCCUGCUUUCCCUUGUGGAUUGCGGGUACUCGAGUGGCGAACGGGUGAGUAACACGUGAGUGAUCUGCCCCCAACUUGGGUAUAAGCCUGGGAAACUGGGUCUAAUUCCCGAUAGGACUGCAGGGUGGUGCCUGUGGUGGAAAACGAUUUUCUAGUGGUUGGGGAUGGGCUCGCGGCCUAUCAGCUUGUUGGUGGGGUAAUGGCCUACCAAGGCGGCGACGGGUAGCCGGCCUGGGAGGGUGGACGGCCACAUUGGGACUGAGAUACGGCCCAGACUCCUACGGGAGGCAGCAGUGGGGAAUAUUGCACAAUGGGCGGAAGCCUGAUGCAGCGACGCCGCGUGGGGGAUGACGGCCUUCGGGUUGUAAACUCCUUUCGACCGCGAGGAAGCCACCUGGUUGGAAGGGUGGUGACGGUAGUGGUAGAAGAAGCACCGGCUAACUACGUG
rnacentral:rRNA from 1 species